rnacentral:tRNA from 1 species
AUUUAAAUAGUUUAAUUAAAACUCUGAUUUGUGGGGUCGGUGAUGUAUGUGAUACUUUAAAUA